UGGGGAAUUUUGCGCAAUGGGCGAAAGCCUGACGCAGCAACGCCGCGUGAGUGAUGAAGGCUUUCGGGUCGUAAAGCUCUGUCAAGGGGAAAGAAGUGUAUUGUGGUUAAUACCCAUGAUGCUUGACGGUACCCCUAAAGGAAGCACCGGCUAACUCCGUGCCAGCAGCCGCGGUAAUACGGGGGGUGCAAGCGUUGUUCGGAAUUAUUGGGCGUAAAGGGCGUGUAGGCGGUUUGUUAAGUCUGAUGUGAAAGCCCCGGGCUCAACCUGGGAAGUGCAUUGGAAACUGGCAGACUUGAAUACGGGAGAGGGUAGUGGAAUUCCUGGUGUAGGAGUGAAAUCCGUAGAUAUUGGGAAGAACACCGGUGGCGAAGGCGACUUGCUGGCCAGUAACUGACGCUGAGGCGCGAAAGCCAGGGGAGCAAACG
rnacentral:rRNA from 1 species